UACGAAGGGGGCUAGCGUUGUUCGGAAUUACUGGGCGUAAAGGGCGCGUAGGCGGUUUGUCGCGUCUGCUGUGAAAACUGGAGGCUCAACCUCCAGCCUGCAGUGGGUACGGGCAGACUAGAGUGUGGUAGGGGAGACUGGAAUUCCUGGUGUAGCGGUGAAAUGCGCAGAUAUCAGGAGGAACACCGAUGGCGAAGGCAGGUCUCUGGGCCACUACUGACGCUGAGAAGCGGAAAGCAUGGGGAGCGAACAGG
rnacentral:rRNA from 1 species